rnacentral:rRNA from 1 species
UGGGGAAUAUUGGACAAUGGGCGGAAGCCUGAUCCAGCCAUGCCGCGUGUGUGAAGAAGGCCUUUUGGUUGUAAAGCACUUUAAGCGAGGAGGAGGCUACUUGGAUUAAUACUCUAGGCUAGUGGACGUUACUCGCAGAAUAAGCACCGGCUAACUCUGUGCCAGCAGCCGCGGUAAUACAGAGGGUGCGAGCGUUAAUCGGAUUUACUGGGCGUAAAGCGUGCGUAGGCGGCUUCUUAAGUCGGAUGUGAAAUCCCUGAGCUUAACUUAGGAAUUGCAUUCGAUACUGGGAAGCUAGAGUAUGGGAGAGGAUGGUAGAAUUCCAGGUGUAGCGGUGAAAUGCGGAGAGAUCUGGAGGAAUACCGAUGGCGAAGGCAGCCAUCUGGCCUAAUACUGACGCUGAGGUACGAAAGCAUGGGGAGCAAACAGG